CCUACGGGUGGCAGCAGUGGGGGAUAUUGCACAAUGGGGGAAACCCUGAUGCAGCGACGCCGCGUGUGGGAAGACGGUCCUCUGGAUUGUAAACCACUGUCCCCAGGGACGAAGAUGACGGUACCUGGGGAGGAAGCUCCGGCUAACUACGUGCCAGCAGCAUCGGUAAUACGUAGGGAGCGAGCGUUGUCCGGAAUUACUGGGGGAAAGGGGAGCGUAGGCGGGACUGCAAGUUGGGUGUCAAAUCUACCGGCUCAACCGGUAGCCGCACUCAAAACUGCAGUUCUUGAGUGAAGUAGAGGCAGGCAGAAUUCCUGGUGUAGCGGUGAAAGGCGUAGAUAUUAGGAGGAACACCAGUGGCGAAGGCGGCCUGCUGGGCUUUUACUGACGCUGAGGCUCGAAAGUGUGGGGAGCAAACAGGAUUAGAUACCCCAGUAGUC
rnacentral:rRNA from 1 species